rfam:Fukomys damarensis contig114729, whole genome shotgun sequence.
CCAAAGGCUCUUUUCAGAGCCGCCCACUCUUUUCUAAAGAGAACUG